AUAUACGGCCGUACCUAGUGGAAAAUUUGGGAUCCCGUCUUCUCUCUCAUAGAAAAGCCUUUGAGGGCCAGGCUAGCACUCAGGUUGGAGACGAUUGGGGAAUUCUCGAUGUUGUAUCUU
rnacentral:rRNA from 1 species